rnacentral:rRNA from 1 species
AUUGAACGCUGGCGGCAUGCCUUACACAUGCAAGUCGAACGGCAGCGCGGGGCAACCUGGCGGCGAGUGGCGAACGGGUGAGUAAUAUAUCGGAACGUGCCCUGGAGUGGGGAUAACGUAGCGAAAGUUACGCUAAUACCGCAUACGAUCCAAGGAUGAAAGCAGGGGACCUUCGGGCCUUGUGCUCCUGGAGCGGCCGAUAUCUGAUUAGCUAGUUGGUGGGGUAAAAGCCUACCAAGGCGACGAUCAGUAGCUGGUCUGAGAGGACGACCAGCCACACUGGAACUGAGACACGGUCCAGACUCCUACGGGAGGCAGCAGUGGGGAAUUUUGGACAAUGGGGGCAACCCUGAUCAGCAAUGCCGCGUGUGUGAAGAAGGCCUUCGGUUGU